rnacentral:rRNA from 1 species
AUGCAUAGAGACAUAGGUAAUACCUUUUGUUAUGUACAACAGAAGAUGGGGAAAAUAACGAAUGAAGCGAUUGCUUUGUCAAUCAAGCUUAUACAAUUGUCAUGCCUCAGAAUAUUUUCAGCAUUCAACAUAUUUCCAGGAAAACGCAUUUAUAUCUGUCAGCAAGUAUUUGAUCUUCAGCAAGGAGGGUGGACUGGUGGUAUUUCCAACUUGGUUGAUUUUGCCAUGCAGUUUACAUGGGAAGCAUGCAUUAAACACACUAGCUGCUAUGCUUGUACAGGUCAUCAAGUUGCUACCAUGAGAGAUUGA